GCUCACUUUGGCAGCAUAUACUAAAAUUGGAACAAUACAAAGAAGAUAAGCAUUUCCCCUGUGCAAGGUUGACAUGCAAAUCCAUGAAAUGUCCCAUAGUAAA